GGCCAUAUCACGUUGAAACACCAGUUCUCGUACAAUCACUGAAGUUAAGCAACGUCGAGCCAGGUCAAUAACUAGAUGGGUGACUGCUUGGGAAUACCAAGUGCUUCA
rnacentral:rRNA from 1 species